rnacentral:tRNA from 1 species
GCCGGGGUGAUGAAAUUGGUAAACAUAGCGGACUUAAAAUCCGCCGCCGCAAGGCUUACGGGUUCAAGUCCCGUCCCCGGCACCA